rnacentral:rRNA from 1 species
AGGAUGAACGCUGGCGGCGUGCCUAAUACAUGCAAGUCGAACGAGCUCUUCGGAGCUAGUGGCGGACGGGUGAGUAACACGUUGGUACCUACCCCGAAGUGGGGAAUAACUGCCCGAAAGGGUGGCUAAUACCGCAUAAUACCGCAAGGUUAAAGCGAGUAAUCGCGCUUCGGGAGGGGCCUGCGUCCCAUUAGCUAGUUGGUAGGGUAAUGGCCUACCAAGGCGACGAUGGGUAGCUGGAUCGAGAGGUUGACCAGCCACACUGGGACUGAGACACGGCCCAGACUCCUACGGGAGGCAGCAGUAGGGAAUCUUGCGCAAUGCGCGAAAGCGUGACGCAGCAACGCCGCGUGGGGGAAGAAGGCUCUCGGGUUGUAAACCCCUUUCAGUUGGGACGAAGCUUCGUCGGUUAAUAGCCGGCUGGAGUGACGGUACCUUCGACAAGAAGCACCGGCUAACUACGUGCCAGCAGCCGC